UACGUAGGGGGCUAGCGUUGUCCGGAUUUAUUGGGCGUAAAGAGCGUGUAGGCGGCCAGGUAGGUCUGCUGUGAAAACUCGAGGCUCAACCUCGAGACGUCGGCGGAAACCAUCUGGCUAGAGUCCGGAAGAGGAGAGUGGAAUUCCUGGUGUAGCGGUGGAAUGCGCAGAUAUCAGGAAGAACACCGGUGGCGAAGGCGGGUCUCUGGGCCGAUACUGACGCUGAGGAGCGAAAGCGUGGGGAGCGAACAGG
rnacentral:rRNA from 1 species